rnacentral:misc_RNA from 1 species
CUUACGUUGAAAUUCCCUCUCUCAAGAAUCAAGCUUUUAACAUGGGAGUGAGUGAGAUUUAAUUGAGAAGGUUGUGGGAUUCUGAUGUAAAAUGGGCAAUUGGAGACCGCGUAGAUUUUUCUACGAACAAUAUAUAGAUCCGGCAUCAUCUUACUACGACCCGGAAGAACCUACUCCUAAUCCUGGGGACAUGUCUGCGUGUUAAAUAUCAAUUUGGGCCGC